GAUUAGCCUGCGUCCGAUUAGCUAGUUGGUGGGGUAAGGGCCUACCAAGGCGACGAUCGGUAGCUGGUCUGAGAGGAUGGCCAGCCACACUGGAACUGAGACACGGUCCAGACUCCUACGGGAGGCAGCAGUGGGGAAUAUUGGACAAUGGGGGGAACCCUGAUCCAGCAAUGCCGCGUGUGUGAAGAAGGCCUGAGGGUUGUAAAGCACUUUCAGUGGGGAGGAGGGUUGAUUGGUUAAGAGCUGAUUAACUGGACGUUACCCACAGAAGAAGCACCGGCUAACUCCGUGCCAGCAGCCGCGGUAAUACGGAGGGUGCAAGCGUUAAUCGGAAUUACUGGGCGUAAAGCGUGCGUAGGUGGUUGAUUAAGUUAUCUGUGAAAUCCCUGGGCUUAACCUGGGCAGGUCAGAUGAUACUGGUUGACUCGAGUAUGGGAGAGGGUAGUGGAAUUUCCGGUGUAGCGGUGAAAUGCGUAGAGAUCGGAAGGAACACCAGUGGCGAAGGCGGCUACCUGGCCUAAUACUGACACUGAGGCACGAAAGCGUGGGGAACAAACAGGAUUAGAUACCCUGGUAGUCCACGCUGUAAACGAUGUCAACUAGCUGUUGG
rnacentral:rRNA from 1 species